rnacentral:rRNA from 1 species
CCCUUAGAUGUUCUGGGCCGCACGCGCGCUACACUGACGAAGUCAGCGAGCGUGUCCUACGCCGACAGGUGCGGGGAAUCUUGUCAAACUUCGUCGUGAUGGGGAUUGAUUAUUGAAAUUCUUGAUCAUCAACGAGGAAUUCCUAGUAAGCGCAAGUCAGCAGCUUGCGUUGAUUACGUCCCUGCCCUUUGUACACACCGCCCGUCGCUACUACCGAUUGAAUGGUUUAGUGAGAUCUUCGGAUUGGCGCCACUGCGGCUCAGCAAUGGGCUCGGUGGAUGCCGAAAAGUUGAUCAAACUUGAUCAUUUAGAGGAAGUAAAAGUCGUAACA